GAGGAAGGGGACGCCGUAAGGACCGCAUACGAGGGGGAAUCGAUCGGCGGUAUGGCCGUUGCCGAGGAAGGCAGCAUCGCCGGCUAGGAUCAUAUCGUGAAUCAGCCCGUGGUUGGAGAAUCCUCGUUUCAGCGUACCGGCAGCCUGAUGACGGUGAAAAUCAAGCAUACAAGGGAAAUAAAGAAGAGCCAUAGGCAACAAGGGAAAAAUAGCUACUAAGAUUUGCAGUAAUGUAUUACAUUGUAAUUGAUGUUAAUCUCCUCAAACAUUCGUAUAGCUAUUACAUUGUAUAUAUACUAGAGAAUGAGAAGGUUUGUUA